UACGGGAGGCAGCAGUGGGGAAUAUUGCACAAUGGGCGAAAGCCUGAUGCAGCUAUGCCGCGUGUAUGAAGAAGGCCUUAGGGUUGUAAAGUACUUUCAUCGGGGAGGAAAAAACAAAACUAAUAAUUUUAUUUCUUGACGUUACCCGAAAAAGAAGCACCGGCUAACUCCGUGCCAGCAGCCGCUGUAAUACGGAGGGUGCUAGCGUUAAUCAGAAUUACUGGGCGUAAAGAGCACGUAGGUGGUUUUUUUAAGUCAGAUGUGAAAUCCCUGGGCUUAACCUAGGAACUGCAUUUUGAAACUGAAAUACUAGAGUAUCGUAGAGGGAGGUAGAAUUCUAGGUGUAGCGGUGAAAUGCGUAGAUAUCUGGAGGAAUACCUGUGGCGAAAGCGGGCCUCCUAAACGAAUACUGACACUGAGGUGCGAAAGCGUGGGGAGCAAACAGGGAUUAGAUACC
rnacentral:rRNA from 1 species